CUUGUUUAUUUAUUUUUGAGUAUCUUUUGAGGCUUUUUGUGCUAUACCUACCACCUUGUGGAUUUGCCUUUUUGUCUUGGAGGAUUACCUUGUGGAUUGCCUUGUUCUUGUGGAAUUCCUUUUGAGCUUGUGGAGUUACAUGUUUUCCUGAAGGACUUCACUUUUUACUUUAUUAAAUACACAGUCUCAAGUACUGCUGUGUCUGCCUCAUAUUCUAGGUUCUGCUGACUAUUCGUGGCUCAGUUGGUUAAGUGACUGUUUCUCACUCCGGAGACCCGGGUUCGUAACCGGGUCCUGACAGUUAACCCACUGUUCCUAGGCCGUCAUGAAAAAUAUGAAUUUGUUCUUAACUGACUUGACGAGUUAAAUAAAUGGGGGGGUGAGGUGUUGAAGGGGAGUAAUUUUUGACCCCUACCUUUUUGAGAAAAUAAUUAUUCAUUUCUUAAACAAAAUCUCUUUCUCUGAGCAAUUGUAUUAGCUUAAAAUCAUUUAAUUUUCCCAUUUUGUUUGAGCAUGCAAUAUAUUUCAGUCUUUGAAUCAUGUAUUUUAUACAGUCAUUUUUGCUACUCUUUAUCAAGGGUGUUAAUAAUUUGGGACCCAACUGUAUACUUCAAAAUUAGAGAUAUGUUGAACCUGGAUCCAUCAUAAUGAUUCUACAUGUUAUAGUAUGAUCCUGGAUCAUCAUAAUGAUUCUACAUGUUAUAGUAUGAACCUGGAUCCAUCAUAAUGAUUCUACAUGUUAUAGUAUGAACCUGGAUCAUCAUAAUGAUUCUACAUGUUAUAAUAUGAACCUGGAUCAUCAUAAUGAUUCUACAUGUUAUAGUAUGAACCUGGAUCCAUCAUAAUGAUUCUACAUGUUAUAGUAUGAUCCUGGAUCAUCAUAAUGAUUCUACAUGUUAUAGUAUGAUCCUGGAUCAUCAUAUUGAUUAUACAUGUUAUUGUAUGAACCUGGAUCAUCAUAAUGAUUCUACAUGUUAUAAUAUGAACCUGGAUCAUCAUAAUGAUUCUACAUGUUAUAAUAUGCCAUAGCCUUUCCAGGCCAAAAGUUAAACUACUGUUAUGGUUAUGAUAUUCUAUGGUGUCGUGUCACUAGACUUUGACCAGAUAUUAUUGCAUCCAAAGAUCAACUGUACAUAGAACAUAGAUACAGAGACACUUGACAUCAGGAAGGUGCUCUCUCAGCACAACGGAAAAUAUCUCAAUGACUUGACAUGUUCUGGUUGUGAAUUCAGCCUACAAGGUAAGAAUCUUCCCAGGGAUUAUUAUAAAGUGUGUAGAGACAUUAAGUGUAUGUUGUUAUUUUACUAGUGAAUGAAAUUAAAACAAUCAGAUCUAACAGUCAAUUUCACCUGCGACAGCUACGUGACAGUUCAAUCAUACAAAAUGGCGCUAACUGGGUGUUGACGAUAAAAUUGAAAAACAUAUUGUUCGUAUAUCGUAUUAUAGGAUUCGUAUAUCUGGUUAUUUUACCAUUUGUAAAAAUGUUAAUUUAUCAUAGUUCUAAAUCAUCUUUCAGAAUAUCGGAACGUGUUGUUUUCAAAAUGUCCAUGAUUUCCUGCUCUUUGUGUAAUUUGGGGUCAGUGCUCUGAAAUGAGUCUCUCUGGGAAGAGAGAGGAGGGGGCCCUGUCUCUAAAAUGAGUCUCUCUGGGGAGAAAGAGGAGGGGGUACCUGCCGCUAAAAUGAGUCUCUCUGGGGAGAAAGAGGAGGGGGGCCCUGCCGCUAAAAUGAGUCUCUCUGGAGAACAUGACACCAAAGCUAAGAGUCCAAUCAAGCAGGAGAGACCAGCCUCCCCUGUACCCAGCUGUGUGUCCAUGAAGAGUGACCGGUCAAUGUAUAAAUUGAUAGACUUCAGAGAGGAGAUUAUUCUACUGAACAAAGAACCGAACAGGAGACAACAGAGUCAGAGAGAUUCUCAGUCAUCAAACAGACCUGGCCUCCAUAUUCAG